GCCGGGUGUGGUGGCUUACACCUGUAAUCCCAGCACUUUGGGAGGCUGAGGUGGGCAGAUCACCUGAGGUCAGGAGUUCGAGACUAGCUUGGCCAACAUGAUGAAGCCCUGUCUCUACUAAAAAUACAAAAAUUAGCCGGGUGUGGUGGUGCAGGCCUGCAGUCCCAGCUACUUGGAAGGCUGAGGCAGGAGACUCGCUUGACCUAGGAGAUGGAAGUUGCAGUGAGCCGAGAUCAUGCCAUCGUACUCCAGCCUGGGCAACAGAGUGAGACUCCAUCUCA
rnacentral:sRNA from 1 species